UACAGAGACCCCGAGCGUUAUCCGGAAUUACUGGGCGUAAAGCGCGGGUAGCCGGUCGUGUUAGUCCGAUGUCAAACCAUGGGGCCCAACCCCAUGCCUGCAUCGGAAACGGCACGACUCGAGUCGGUGAGAGGUGAGCAGAACGUACGGUGUAGGGGUGAAAUCCACUGAUAUCGUACGGAAUACCAAAAGCGAAGGCAGCUCACUAGCGCCGUACUGACGGUCAAUCGCGAAAGCGUGGGGAUCAAAAAGG
rnacentral:rRNA from 1 species